AUUGAACGCUGGCGGCAGGCUUAACACAUGCAAGUCGAGCGGGGUGAUGGUGGUUGCACUAUCACUUAGCGGCGGACGGGUGAGUAAUGCUUAGGAAUCUGCCUAUUAGUGGGGGAUAACUCGGGGAAACUCGGGCUAAUACCGCAUACGUCCUACGGGAGAAAGUGGGGGAUCUUCGGACCUCACGCUAAUAGAUGAGCCUAGGUCGGAUUAGCUAGUUGGUGAGGUAACGGCUCACCAAGGCGACGAUCCGUAGCUGGUCUGAGAGGAUGAUCAGCCACACGGGAACGGAGACACGGUCCAGACUCCUACGGGAGGCAGCAGUGGGGAAUAUUGGACAAUGGGCGAAAGCCUGAUCCAGCCAUGCCGCGUGUGUGAAGAAGGUCUUCGGAUUGUAAAGCACUUUAAGUUGGGAGGAAGGUCUGUAAGCUAAUAUCUUGCAGUCUUGACGUUACCAACAGAAUAAGCACCGGCUAACUCUGUGCCAGCAGCCGCCGUAA
rnacentral:rRNA from 1 species